GGGCGCAGCGGUAUCCGGAAUUAUUGGGCGUAAAGAGCUCGUAGGCGGUUUGUCGCGUCUGCCGUGAAAGUCCGGGGCUCAACUCCGGAUCUGCGGUGGGUACGGGCAGACUAGAGUGAUGUAGGGGAGACUGGAAUUCCUGGUGUAGCGGUGAAAUGCGCAGAUAUCAGGAGGAACACCGAUGGCGAAGGCAGGUCUCUGGGCAUUAACUGACGCUGAGGAGCGAAAGCAUGGGGAGCGAACAGGAUUAGAUACCCUGGUAGUCCAUGCCGUAAACGUUGGGCACUAGGUGUGGGGGACAUUCCACGUUUUCCGCGCCGUAGCUAACGCAUUAAGUGCCCCGCCUGGGGAGUACGGCCGCAAGGCUAAAACUCAAAGGAAUUGACGGGGGCCCGCACAAGCGGCGGAGCAUGCGGAUUAAUUCGAUGCAACGCGAAGAACCUUACCAAGGCUUGACAUGAACCGGUAAGACCUGGAAACAGGUCCCCCACUUGUGGCCGGUUUACAGGUGGUGCAUGGUUGUCGUCAGCUCGUGUCGUGAGAUGUUGGGUUAAGUCCCGCAACGAGCGCAACCCUCGUUCCAUGUUGCCAGCGCGUUAUGGCGGGGACUCAUGGGAGACUGCCGGGGUCAACUCGGAGGAAGGUGGGGACGACGUCAAAUCAUCAUGCCCCUUAUGUCUUGGGCUUCACGCAUGCUACAAUGGCCGGUACAAAGGGUUGCGAUACUGUGAGGUGGAGCUAAUCCCAAAAAGCCGGUCUCAGUUCGGAUUGGGGUCUGCAACUCGACCCCAUGAAGUCGGAGUCGCUAGUAAUCGCAGAUCAGCAACGCUGCGGUGAAUACGUUCCCGGGCCUUGUACACACCGCCCGUCAAGUCACGAAAGUUGGUAACACCCGAAGCCGGUGGCCUAACCCCUUGUGGGAGGGAGCUGUCGAAGGUGGGACUGAGA
rnacentral:rRNA from 1 species